rnacentral:misc_RNA from 1 species
AACUGAUACUACCUGCGGGAACCUGCGGAAGGAUCAUUAACGAGUUUUGAAGUGGGAUUGAUGCUGGCCUUCCGAGGCAUGUGCUCGUCCUCGCUCAUCCACUCACAACACCUGUGCACUGUUGAGGUGUGGCCCCCCUUCAAUGGAGUCGUUCCCCCCUAGGGGGUCGAGCCGGGGUCAGGCCUUCUUCGUCACAAACAACUUGUAAUGUCUAUUCGGAAUGUAAUGCUUCAUGUUAAU